rnacentral:tRNA from 1 species
AGGCCUGUGGAGCGGCUCGAAAAUGGAGAGGUGUAAUUACCCUUUGUCGCAUUGACACGGUAGAGGUCAUAGGUUCGAGUCCUAUACGGCCUACCA